AAGUAAUAAAAGUAAUAUGGUCAUGGUAAAAAAUUCAGUACAGAAUUCAGUAUAAUACAGAAGAUUUAAGAAGCAAGUGUCAGCUGUGGCUCCACUAAUUAUUUUUAAUUUAAAAAUUUUUUAGCAGCUGGGCGUGGUAGCUUACGCCUGUAAUCCCAGCGCUUUGGGAGGCCGAGGUGGGCAGAUCACAAGGUCAGGAGAUCAAGACCAUCCUGACCAACAUGGCGAAACCCCGUCUCUUCUAAAAAUACAAAAAUUAGCCAGGCGUGGUGGCAUGUGCCUAUAAUCCCAGCUAUGCAGGAGGGUGAGGCGGGAGAAUUGCUUGAACCCGGGAGGCAGAGCUUGCAGUGAGCUGAGAUGGCGCCACUGCACUCCAGCCUGGGCGACAGAGCGAGACUCCAUCUCAAAAAAAAAAAAAAAAAAAAUUUUAGCAUGUUAAUUUAGGGUAUCUAAUUGUUUUGGUGUGUUAUUCUUUUACUUGUGCAUGGUUUUGUUCAUUUUUCAAAAAUUGAGUCCUAGCAUACAUGUAUAUGCAUCGCCUUUUUAAGUCUUUUGCCCCCUACCCUUUAAAAAAAAUAUUGUGUCAGCUGUUUGGUCAGUGUUUAUAGCUAGAGCACUGGGAAGAGCUCUGUUGAGGGUGAUAUAUAUUGGGAGUUGUCAGGUAUAGCUGAUGGUAGGGAACUGGCUGAAUGAAGGUGCAUUAACAUGUGAAGAGAAGGCUACAGUGGCUCAAGCCUGUAAUUCCAGCAGUUUGGGAGGCCGAGGCGGGUGGAUCACGAGCGUGGGCGACAGAGCAAGACUCCAUCUCAAAAAAGAAAGAAAGUCGGGAGAAAUUGUUUGGAGAUGAGGGAGACUUUGUUUUAGGCAUAACCAAGUUGAAAGUGACUAGAACCGAAAAGGAAGUAUGGUACAGGGAGCUGAUGGGCAGGUGGGAAGCUGGGACUUCAAGGAGACAUUUAAAGCACUUACGACAGUAAGGUCCAAUAGGACCCACAGAUUUUUUUUGAGAUGGAGUUCCACUCUUGUCGCUGAGGCUAGAGAGCAAUGGCGCUAUCUUGGCUCACUGCAACCUCCGCCUCCUGGGUUCAAGUGAUUCUCCUGCCUCAGUGGCCCAAGUAGCUGGGAUUACAGGCACAUGACACCAUGCCCAGCUAAUUUUUGUAUUUUUAGUAGAGACAGGGUUUCACCACGUUUGCCAGGCUGGUCUCGAACUCCUGACCUCAGGUGAUCCACCGGCCUUGGCCUCUCAAGGUGCUGGGAUUAUAGGUGUGAGCCACCAUGCCCAGUCGUACUCACAGAUUUUUAAUAUUGUCUUGUAUUCUGUUUGCAAAGAGGAAAAAUUAUUACAUAUAUUCAAAUAAGGCAAUAUUAAAAAAAAUCAUUACCUGGAGUUGCCAGAUUCUUAAGCUUAUAGGCUUUUUUAAUUCUAGGCGCAUGACCACCAACCAAAGGUGAAGAGAUGGGGUCUCACUGUUGCCCAGGCUGGUCUCAAACUCCUGGUCUCAUGUGAUCUUCCCACCCUAACCUCCCAGAGUGCUGGGAUUACAGACGUGAGCCACCAUGCCCUACUGAUACAGUAUUUCUUGAAUUCAUAUAUGAUACUGACACUGGAUAUUUUUUAUUUUUGUAAACUACCUGUUUGCAAAACAGUGGGACAGUUUUAAAAAUUUAUUUUCUGCAAAUUACAUUUAUUACUGUCAGAAUUUAAUGACUAACUUGAUUUUUUUUUUUCACCAUGUUCCCGAGUAGCUGGGAUUACAGGCACAUGCCACCAUGCCUGGUUGAUUUUUGUAUUUUUCGUAGAGAUGGGGUUUUGCCAUGUUGGCCAGGCUGGUCUUGAACUCCUGGCCUCAAGUGAUCCAUUCACCUUGGGCUCCCAGAGUGCUGGGAUUACAGACGUGAGCCACCAUGCCUGAUCGAAACUACUUUUUUGAGGGAUACUGUUUGAGAAAAUACCUUGACUUACAUUUGGGCAUAUAUAAUACUUUAUGUUGAAUUCUUAGCCUCACUAGAUAAAUCCUACAAAAUGUAUAUGUCCAUGUUUUGUUACUGAUGUUUGAAUUACGCUCCACAUAGACAUCUUUCUAGUUAAAGCUUUGCUAGUUUAGUAGAUAGGGUGGGAGAAAGGAAUAUCCUAUUGAUAGUUUUUUGGGGGGAUUGGGCAUGAUGUAUUUUAUCCUAAAAUAAGAUGUUACUGAAUGUUAAUUGCAGAAUUAAUGUAAAAUUGACUACAUCUUUCACAGAUGAAAUACAUCGUGUAUAGCUGUGGGUCUGAAAAUGUGUGGAGUGGCCUGGACUUUACAGAGCACCUGGAUCAAUGUUUUUCAGCCUUACUUUGUAGUAGCAGAAUGCUUUGUGAAAUAAAAUCUUGUGUAGGCCGGGCACAGUGGCUCAUGCCUGUAUUCUCAACACUUUGAGAGGCCAAGCCUGGGCAACAGAGUGAGACUCUAUCUCGAAUAAUAAUAAUAAUAAUAAUAAUAAUAAUAAUAAUAAAAUAAAUCUUGUGUAGAACUCUAUUAUGUAUAAAGCGGAAAAGGUGGCUCUACUCUGAGAGAAUUGGCAGUGAGCUCAAGUGUUGGAAGUAUCCCUGUGAUGCCCUGUAACUGGCCAGGUGUGGUCACUCAUGCCAGUAAUCCCAGCUCUUUGGGAGGCUGAGGUGGGUGGAUUGCUUGAGCCAAGGAGUUGGAGACCAGCCUGGGCAACACGUCCCAUCUGCUUGGGAGGCUGAGGUAGAAGAAUUGCUUGAGGCCGGGAGGCAGAGGUUGCAGUGAUCCACCCGCCUCAGCCUUCCAAACUGUUGGGAUUACAGGCGUGAGCCACUGUGCCUGGCCCUAAAUGCCAGAUGGAAGUGCCCCAUUAGAUGGAAGUGCCCCAUUCUGGAAAAAAAUUGCCAUAGAGGACAUUAAUCCAAUUUGUAAGGAAAAGAAAAAAAGCAAUGAAAACCAUCAGGCUUGAAACAAAUUCCUGCUGGAGAAGACUGUCCAGAUGUGCAUGACUUCAAAGGAUUUUUAUUAAAAAUUAUUUUAUUAUUUUUUAAUUAUACUUUAAGUUCUAGGGUACAUGUGCACAGCAUGCAGGGUUUUUAUGGUUUUAGGUCUAACAUUUAAGUCUUAAAUCCAUCUUGAAUUAAUUUUUGUAUAAGGUGUAAGGAAGAGAUCCAGUUUCAGUUUUCUACAUAUAGCUAGCCAGUUUUCCCAGCACCAUUUAUUAAAUGGGGAAUGCUUUCCCCAUUGCUUGUUUUUGUCAGUGGUUUGUAGUUCUCCUUGAAGAGGUCCUUCACAUCCCUUCCUGGGUGAUAGAGCGAGCCUUUGUCUCCAAAAAAAAAAAAAAAAAAAAAAAAAGCUGUGGUUUGGAUAUGAGAUGAGGUCUUGCCGUGUUGCGCAGGCUAGUCUUGAACUCCUGGUCUCUAGCACUCCUCCUGCUGUGGCCUCCCAAAGUGCUAGGAUUAUAGGCGUUAGCCACUGUGCCCUGCUGUAUUUUCUGUUACUUAAAACUGAAAGAGCAACAUUGUUGAUCACAGCCAGAUGGAAACAACUCAGAUGUCAGUUGAUGAAUAAACAAAAUGUAGCAUAUCCUUACAAUGGAAUAUUAUUCAGCAGUAAAAAUAAUGAAGUACUGUUACAUGCUACAACAUGGAUAUAUCUUGAAAACAUUAUACUGGAUCAAAGAAGUCAGUCAUGAAAGACCACUUAUUAAUAUGAUUUAAUUUAUAUCAAAUAUCUGGAAUAAGCAAACUCAUAGAGACAGAAAGUAGAUUUAUGGUUACCUAGAGCUGGUGGGGAGGGGGAAAUAUGGGGCGUGCCUGUUGAUGGGUAUGUGUUUCUUUUUGGGGUGAUAAAAAUACUGUAAAAUUGAUUUUGGUAAUGGUUGUACAGCUCUGUGAAUAUACUGAAGUCAUUAAGUUGUGCACUUUAAUUGGGUGAAUUGUACAUGACUGUGGGCUACUACCUGGAGUGAUUCGUUAGGGGAAAGGACCCACAGCCUGUGCAGGAGGAAAAAAGCAUCUCUGAGUACAGGGUGGAUGAGCUGGAUGAGCUGCCGGGCAAGAGCCACGCACACCCAGGUGUUUCUGUGGGUUAAGAAUUUGGAAGCAGUUGAGUGGGGUGGUUCUGGCUCAGGGUUGCAGUCAUUUUGAAGGCUUGGCUGAGGCUGGAGGAUCUGCUUCCAGGCUGUUGGCAGGAGGCCUUGCCUGUUGCUCUGUGGACCUCUUCUUGAAUGUUCUCACAACAUGUCAGCUGGCUUCAUCAAGAGGGAGCAAGGAGGAAGCUGCGGUUACAUUUUUAUAACACACCCUUAGAAGACCUCACACUGCCACUUCUGCCACGUUUGUUAGAAGGGAGUUACUGGGUACAGCCCACACUCAAGGGAGAGUUCAGAAUAUUGAAACACAAAGUGCUAAAAUGGAAAUGCACUGUUAGUUAGAAAACGUUCCAGUGAUUCUCUUGCCUCAGCCUCCUGAGUAGCUGGGAUUAUAGGCCUGCGCCAUCACGCCUGGUUAAUUUUUGUGUUUUUAGUAGAGAUGGGGUUUCACCAUGUUGGUCAGGCUGGUCUCGAACUCCUGACCUUGUGGUCUGCCUGCCUUGGCCUCCCAAAGUGCUGGGAUUACAGGCAUGAGCCACUGCACCGGGCCUAUGGUUUUCUUUUUUUUCUGGCCAUAUCCUGCGUGAGAUAAAUCUAUUGCCUUUUCCCCAAUGCAUGCUUUUGUGACAUCAUCCGUUAAUCACUUGGAAAAUACUGGCUGACUGAGACCCUGGAUCACAGAUAAUUAAUAAGUGCUUAUGGAAUGAAUGAGGUGAUUGAAAUAAACAGAUUUAAGAACCCCAAAACUAGUUUGGAUUAUUUAACUAGAGGAGGAAUGGCUUUUUGUACCUCUAUUCAAAAUUCCUGAGGGCAUGUAUUUUGGGCAUAGAACUUUGAAUAGUUUACAGUGAUGUUUCAGAAUUAUACAUAAAAUAUGAAAUUAUUCAUCUUUGCUUUAGAACAAAUUUCUGUGACUUAAUUAACGCAAGAAUGGAUCAAAGGCGCGUACUUGAAUAUCUGUCCUUUCAAAACUUUGUAAAAUACAAAUAGACACUUUCUCAAAAUUAUUGAAAAAAUUAGUUUUAAUAGUUAAUGUCAUAACUAUUAUUAUUCCUUUCAAAAUCAGGGACAAUAUUGAGUUGACUGCUCUCCCUUUUUGUUGUGUAGUAUUAUGGUAUUUAGUAGUGUUAGUGCAAUCAGACAAAAACACCCCAAACAGGUUAGAAAGAAGCAAAACUUAUUAUUUUCAGGUGGUAUUAUCUUUUUGAAAAAUCCAAGAUUCUAAUUUGAGAACUAUUAUAACCAAAAAGGGUCAAAAUAAACAGUUCCAAACUACAGGAAAAAAGUGAAAUAUUUCAACAAUAAUUUAUUGGAUAUAUACAAUGAAAAUCAUCCUAUUUACAACAGGAUUCAAAAAUUAUUUCUCUUUCAUAAUUAAGAAAAUUUAACCCCUGAUAAAAGUGAUUUGAACAGGCCACUUAAUUACAACAGAAUACUAGCCUUUAAGAUGCCUUCUGUCUCACUGUGCCAUCGCGCUUAGGAGAGUUAGGGAGCAAGCUGUCUGGUGUCUCUCUUUAUAUAAUCCUAUCAUGAGGCCAGUGGUGGUGGCUCAUGCCUGUAAUCCUAGCACUUUGGGAGGCUGAGGUGGGUGGAUCACCUGAGGUCAGGAGUUUGAGACCAGCCUGGCCAACAUGGUGAAACCCUGUCUCUACUAAAAAUAAAAAAAUUAGCUGGGCUUGGUGGCAGGCGCCUGUAAUGCUGGCUACUCGGGAAGCUGAGGCAGGAGAAUCGCUUGAACCGGGGAAGCAGAGUUUGCAGUGAGCUAAGAUUGUGCCAUUGCACUCCAGCCUGGGCAACAGAGCAAGACUCCAUCUCAAAAAAAAAAAAAAAUCCCUUCAUGAGCCUCACUAUCAUUGAUGCCUUCCUCUAACCCUAAUUACCUGCCAAAGGCCCCACCUUCAGAUAUCACACUGGGGGUUAAGGCUUCAACAUACGAAUUUUGGGGGGACACAAUUCAGCCCACAGCAAUCAUGCAUUUAUUACAUAAUCAUAAUGCAUUAUCACAAUCAACAAAAUUAACAUAAUUUUUCUGGUGUCAUCUAAAAAUCAAGGCAUGGGUGGCUCAUGCCUGUAAUCCCAGCUCUUUGGGAGGCCGAGGUGGGUGGCUCACUUGAGGUCAGGAGUUCGAGACUAGCCUGGCCAACAUAGUGAAACCCCAUCUCUACUAAAAUUACAAAUAUUAGCUAGGUGUGGUGGCGGGUGCCUGUAAUCCCAGCUACUUGGGAGGCUGAGGCAGGAGAAUUGCUUGAACCUGGAGUCAGAGGUUGCAGUGAGCCAAAAUGGCACCAUUGCACUCCAGCCUGGGCAACAGAGCGAGACCCUGUCUCAAAAAAACAAAAAACAGAAACUCAAUCCAUGUUCACAUUUCCACAGUUACUGUAGGGAAUGCCUUUUUACAGUUGAUUUAUUAGAAUUGGGAACUCAGAGUGUUAAAUUUGUUAUGCUUUUAAAAUCUGGAAGUAGUUUUAAAAGUAGUUCAGUAAGACAACAGACUCUUUCCUCAAUGUGUAGUAUGAAAAAGGAAUUUAGAGGAGAGAUUGCUAUAGAGUAAAAUUUACUUAAGACGUAUAACAACAAAUGUAAUGAGAACUUUUUUUUUGGUUUUCAGUCCUAAGAAAUCAACUGUAAAAAGAUGGUAAUACCCUAAAUUCUAUAUAACUCCAAUAUUCUGAAAAACUGGUACAUAUACAUGUUUGAGUUGUAAAUUUAAAAAUAACAUCUUGAAAGUAUUUUCAUUAAAGGUUUUAUAUUUCUAAUAAAUUAUAAUGGUAUUUUAAAACAGUCCCAACACACUAAAGAAAAAUUUGAGUGAAGAUACUGUCAAAAGUCAAGCCACCAUUUUGUGAGGUAACUUUACAGACUUUUCCAAAGCAGAAUUUAUCAUAGUAGUUUAGUAAAACGUUGUAAAGAAAAGAACAUUACUUUUUUUCUCUGUGUUUUCUAUUAACUGUAGUGAAUAUUUGAUGUGAAAUGCCAUUCAAAUAUGAAUUUAACCAGUAGGUGGCAACAAAUCAAUAUCCAAAUUUAUUUUUAAGAAAAGUUCAAGAAAAAUACUAUAAAUUGUAAAUAAGAUAACAUUUGAUUUUUUUCAUAAAUAAACAUUUUGUGCUUUUGGCUUUAGUAAAUGUUAUUUAAUUUGAAAAUUUGGUAUAUAUUUUAUUUUUAUACGAUAAGCAAAGUUUUUUUUUUUUUAGAUGGAGUUUUGCUCUAGUUGCCCAGGCUGGAAUGCAAUGGCAUGACCUCGGCUCACCGCAACCUCUGCCUCCCAGCUUCAAGCAAUUCUCCUGCCUCAGCCUCCUGAGUAGCUGGGAUUACAGGUGCCUGCCACCACGCUUGGCUAAUUUUUUGUUUUUUUUAGUAGAGUCGGGGUUUCUCCAUGUUGGUCAGCCUGGUCUUGAACUCCCGACCUCAGGUGAUUUGCCUGCCUCAGCCUCCCAAAGUGCUGGGAUUACAGAUGUGAGCCACUGCGCCCGGCUGCUUUUUUUUUUUUUUUUUUAAAAGAUGGUCUUGUUCUGUCACCCGGGCUGGAGUGCAGUGGCACCAUCUCACUGCAACCUCCACCUCCUGGGCUCAGUCGAGCCUCCCACCUCAGCAUCUCCAGUAGUUGGAACUAGAGACAGACAACACCAUGACCAAUUUUGAAAAUGUUUUGUAGAAAUGAGGUCUCACUGUAUUUCCCAGGCUGGUCUGGAACUCCUAGGCUCAUCCAGUUCUCCUGCUUCUGUCUCCCAAAGUGCUGGGAUUACAGAUGUGAGCCACGACAUCCAGCCCAAGGUUCAUUUUAAAGCUAUGAGUUGAUUUUUGAUAAUUGAAUUAUUUGCUCAUAGUUCUUUUAAAAUCUGAAUGAUAAUGCAAUUGUUUGCUUUAUUAUCUUGUGGCUAUAAAUAAUCAGUCAUGGAAUUGGGAAUUUUUUGUCUUCCUUUAUUAGAAGUUUAAUAAUUAUUUGAUAAUAAGUAGUGUUAUUUAUUUAUUUUUUGAGACGGAGUCUUGCUCUUGUUGCUCAGGCUGGAGUGCAUUGGUGCGAUCUCGGCUCACUGUAGCCUCUGCCUCCUGGGUUCAAGCGAUUCUCCUUCCUCAGCCUCCUGAUUAGCUGGGAUUACAGGCAUGUGCCACCACACCUGGCUAAUUUUUUUGUAUUUGUAGUAGAGACGGGGUUUCACCGUGUUGGCCAGACUGAUAUCGAACUCCUGACCUCAAGUGAUCUGCCCGCCUUGGCCUCCCAAAGUCUGGGAUUACAGGCAUAAGCUACUGCGCCCAGCCAAUAAGUAGUGUUCUUUAAGUUAAUUAAUUUUUUUUUUGUUUUUUUUUUUUUUGGUCUGUAUCCCAGGCUGGAAGGCUGGAGUGCAGUGGCAUGAUUUUGGCUCACUGCAACCUCUGCCUCCCGAGUUCAAGUGAUUCUCCCGCCUCAGCCUCCUGAGUAGCUGGGAUUACAGGCAUGUGCCACCAUACCUGGCUAAUUUUUUUGCAUUUUUAGUAGAGACUGGGUUUCACCAUGUUGGUCAGGCUGGUCUCGGACUCCUGACCUCAAGUGAUCCUCCUGCCUCAGCUUCCCAAAGUACUGGGAUUACAGAUGUGAGCCACCGUGCCCAGCCAAACUGUAUACGUAUUUUAAUACCAGAAACAUCAGGGCUAGGCGCAGUGGCUCAUGCCUGUAAUCCCAGCACUUUGGGAGACUAAGGCGGGUGGAUCAUGAGGUCGGAGUUCGAGACCAGCCUGGCCAACAUGGUGAAACACCGACUCUACUAAAAAUACAAAAAUUAGCCAGGCAUUGGCCGGGCGUGGUGGCUCACGCCUGUAAUCCCAGCACUUUGGGAGGCCAAGGUGGGUGGAUCACGAGGUCAAGAGAUGAGACCAUCUGGCCAGUGUGGUGAAACCCCAUCUCUACUAAAAAUACAAACAUUAGCGAGGCAUGGUGGCGUGUGCCUAUAGUCCCAGCUACUUGGGAGGCUGAGGCAGAAGAAUUGCUUGAACCCAGUAGAUGGAGGUUAUGGUGAGCCGAGAUUGCGCCACUGCACUCCAGCCUGGCAACAGAGUGAGACUCUGUCUCAAAAAAUAAAAAAUAAAAUAAAAUUAGGUGGGCGCCUUUAAUCCCAGCUACUUGGGAGGCUGAGGCAGGAGAAUGACUUGAAACCGGAAGGCGGAGGUUGCAGUGAGCUGAGAUCGCGCCACUGCACUCCAGCCUGGGCAACAAGAGCGAAACUCUGUCUCAAAAAAACAAAACAAAACAAAAACAAACUCAGAAACAUCAUAGCAUUUUCUGAUAUAAAUGACUGGAAGAAAUCUGUGUAUAUUUAUAUGUUAUAAUGGUAUAAAUAUAGUAUAUUAGUUGGUAUUUAGAUCAGUUAUUACAGCAUUAGGCUAGAAUGUUUGGUAAAUGGUACAUAAAGCAUGAUACUGUUUAUAAACAUUUUCCAAAAGCUCAUUACCAAAUAUUGUUAAUAAAUGUAUAUGUGUAUUCUCUUCUGUCUCUCUCUCCCUCAUAAAACUGUACAAAAUGAACUAGCAGGGAGCAGAAAGUAACUACUACUGGAAAGCAGGAAAGAGAUUGGCUCUCAGGACAUACUUUUCAGGGAAUAUGGAGCUAUUUUUUGUAAUAUUAGCAGUUUUCAUUUAUGAGGGAUAAAUGUUAAAAUACUCUUUGUUCUGUAAUGUAUUGUUUGAAUUAAAAAUACUGUAUACAGUUGAACAUAAUCCUGAGCAGAGCAAUCCAUGAUUACUAAACGUUAAUUAAAUUUGUCACUUCAGAUAAGAAAUUUUUGAAGGUCUUUGUUUUGUAUAUUAUUUGUAUACACAAACUGCUAAAUGUUAUUACUUAAUAUUUGUUACAAUAAACAUUUCUGGGUAUUAUCCAA
rnacentral:lncRNA from 1 species